GUGCCAGCCGCCGCGGUAAGACGAAGGAUGCAAGCGUUAUCCGGAUUCAUUGGGUUUAAAGGGAGCGUAGGUGGCCUUAUAAGUCAGUGGUGAAAUCCCGCAGCUUAACUGUGGAAUUGCCAUUGAUACUGUAGGGCUUGAGUACAGAUGCCGUUGGCGGAAUAUGACAUGUAGUGGUGAAAUACAUAGAGAUGUCAUAGAACACCGAUUGCGAAGGCAGCUGACGAAACUGUAACUGACACUGAGGCUCGAAAGUGUGGGGAUCAAACAGGAUUAGAUACCCUUGUAGUCC
rnacentral:rRNA from 1 species